rfam:Entamoeba histolytica HM-1:IMSS scf_1104750517951 genomic scaffold, whole genome shotgun sequence.
GACAGUGUGGCCGAGUGGUCUAAGGCGAUUGACUUGAAAUCAAUUAUCCUCUGGAUGCGUAGGUUCAAAUCCUGCCACUGUCG